GAUUAAGUUAUUAAGGGCGCACGGUGGAUGCCUUGGCACUAGAAGCCGAUGAAGGACGUUACUAACGACGAUAUGCUUUGGGGAGCUGUAAGUAAGCUUUGAUCCAGAGAUUUCCGAAUGGGGAAACCCAGCAUGAGUUAUGUCAUGUUAUCGAUAUGUGAAUACAUAGCAUAUCAGAAGGCACACCCGGAGAACUGAAACAUCUUAGUACCCGGAGGAAGAGAAAGAAAAUUCGAUUCCCUUAGUAGCGGCGAGCGAAACGGGAAGAGCCCAAACCAACAAGCUUGCUUGUUGGGGUUGUAGGACACUCUAUACGGAGUUACAAAGGACGACAUUAGACGAAUCAUCUGGAAAGAUGAAUCAAAGAAGGUAAUAAUCCUGUAGUCGAAAAUGUUGUCUCUCUUGAGUGGAUCCUGAGUACGACGGAGCACGUGAAAUUCCGUCGGAAUCUGGGAGGACCAUCUCCUAAGGCUAAAUACUCUCUAGUGACCGAUAGUGAACCAGUACCGUGAGGGAAAGGUGAAAAGCACCCCGGAAGGGGAGUGAAACAGAACCUGAAACCGUGUGCUUACAAGUAGUCAGAGCCCGUUAAUGGGUGAUGGCGUGCCUUUUGUAGAAUGAACCGGCGAGUUACGAUUUGAUGCAAGGUUAAGCAGUAAAUGUGGAGCCGUAGCGAAAGCGAGUCUGAAUAGGGCGUUUAGUAUUUGGUCGUAGACCCGAAACCAGGUGAUCUACCCUUGGUCAGGUUGAAGUUCAGGUAACACUGAAUGGAGGACCGAACCGACUUACGUUGAAAAGUGAGCGGAUGAACUGAGGGUAGCGGAGAAAUUCCAAUCGAACCUGGAGAUAGCUGGUUCUCUCCGAAAUAGCUUUAGGGCUAGCCUCAAGUGAUGAUUAUUGGAGGUAGAGCACUGUUUGGACGAGGGGCCCCUCUCGGGUUACCGAAUUCAGACAAACUCCGAAUGCCAAUUAAUUUAACUUGGGAGUCAGAACAUGGGUGAUAAGGUCCGUGUUCGAAAGGGAAACAGCCCAGACCACCAGCUAAGGUCCCAAAAUAUAUGUUAAGUGGAAAAGGAUGUGGCGUUGCCCAGACAACUAGGAUGUUGGCUUAGAAGCAGCCAUCAUUUAAAGAGUGCGUAAUAGCUCACUAGUCGAGUGACACUGCGCCGAAAAUGUACCGGGGCUAAACAUAUUACCGAAGCUGUGGAUUGUCCUUUGGACAAUGGUAGGAGAGCGUUCUAAGGGCGUUGAAGCAUGAUCGUAAGGACAUGUGGAGCGCUUAGAAGUGAGAAUGCCGGUGUGAGUAGCGAAAGACGGGUGAGAAUCCCGUCCACCGAUUGACUAAGGUUUCCAGAGGAAGGCUCGUCCGCUCUGGGUUAGUCGGGUCCUAAGCUGAGGCCGACAGGCGUAGGCGAUGGAUAACAGGUUGAUAUUCCUGUACCACCUAUA
rnacentral:rRNA from 1 species